rnacentral:lncRNA from 1 species
AACAGUUAAGACACUUAAUUAAACCCUUAGAGCAUGCAACGGUUCUUGGUAUCUCUUUCACCACUACUGCGCUCUGAAACCCAGACUACAAACAAAGGUACCUGCCAACUACAGCGAUUCUUCUACCACAACACUGCCCGGUGCGACCACAGAAGAGACUCCUGGCACCAUUGAACCCGUGGUGCUGACAACCGGUGAGUUUGAAUCUCUUUCUCUCUGUCUUUUUGUUUAUUUAGUCUGAAUUCUAUUUCAA